GAUGAACGCUGGCGGCGUGCCUAACACAUGCAAGUCGAACGGAGUUCUUGAGGAAUGCGACUUCGGUCAAAUGACUUUUGAACUUAGUGGCGGACGGGUGAGUAACGCGUGAGCAACCUGCCUUUCAGAGGGGGAUAACAUUUGGAAACAGAUGCUAAUACCGCAUAAGAUUACAGUACCGCAUGAUACAGUGAUCAAAGGAGCAAUCCGCUGAAAGAUGGGCUCGCGUCCGAUUAGAUAGUUGGUGAGGUAACGGCUCACCAAGUCGACGAUCGGUAGCCGGACUGAGAGGUUGAACGGCCACAUUGGGACUGAGACACGGCCCAGACUCCUACGGGAGGCAGCAGUGGGGAAUAUUGCACAAUGGGCGAAAGCCUGAUGCAGCAACGCCGCGUGAGUGAAGAAGUAUUUCGGUAUGUAAAGCUCUGUCAGCA
rnacentral:rRNA from 1 species